CGAGCUCGCCAGACAGUCGCCGCCGGUUUAUCCGGGGGAGGAAAGUCCGGGCUCCGCAGGGCAAGGUGCCAGGUAACUCCUGGGCGGCGUGAGCCGACGGAAAGUGCAACAGAAAGCAGACCGCCUAAGUGCUCGUGACUUGUUCACGGACACCGGUAAGGGUGAAACGGUGCGGUAAGAGCGCACCGCGUGACUGGCAACAGUUCACGGCGAUGGUAAACCCCACCUGGAGCAAGACCAAAUAGGAAUCCUAUGGCGCGGCCCGCGCUGGAUUCGGGUAGGU
rnacentral:RNase_P_RNA from 16 species